rnacentral:rRNA from 1 species
AAUAGAUACCCGGGUAGUCCAUGCCGUAAACGUUGGGCACUAGGUGUGGGGGACAUUCCACGUUUUCCGCGCCGUAGCUAACGCAUUAAGUGCCCCGCCUGGGGAGUACGGCCGCAAGGCUAAAACUCAAAGGAAUUGACGGGGGCCCGCACAAGCGGCGGAGCAUGCGGAUUAAUUCGAUGCAACGCGAAGAACCUUACCAAGGCUUGACAUGUGCCAGACCGCCUCAGAGAUGGGGUUUCCCUUCGGGGCUGGUUCACAGGUGGUGCAUGGUUGUCGUCAGCUCGUGUCGUGAGAUGUUGGGUUAAGUCCCGCAACGAGCGCAACCCUCGUUCCAUGUUGCCAGCACGUAGUGGUGGGGACUCAUGGGAGACCGCCGGGGUCAACUCGGAGGAAGGUGGGGAUGACGUCAAAUCAUCAUGCCCCUUAUGUCUUGGGCUUCACGCAUGCUACAAUGGCCGGUACAAUGGGUUGCGAUACUGUGAGGUGGAGCUAAUCCCUAAAAGCCGGUCUCAGUUCGGAUUGGGGUCUGCAACUCGACCCC